UGGAAGUAACCAGUCGUAACAAGGUCUCCGUUGGUGAACCAGCGGAGGGAUCAUUACCGAGUUUACAACUCCCAAACCCAUGUGAACAUACCUAUCGUUGCUUCGGCGGGAUCGCCCCGGGCGCCUUGUGUGCCCCGGAUCCGGCGCCCGCCUAGGAAACCUAACUCUUGUUUUAUUUUGGAAUCUUCUGAGUAGUUUUUACAAAUAAAUAAAAACUUUCAACAACGGAUCUCUUGGUUCUGGCAUCGAUGAAGAACGCAGCGAAAUGCGAUAAGUAAUGUGAAUUGCAGAAUUCAGUGAAUCAUCGAAUCUUUGAACGCACAUUGCGCCCGCCAGUAUUCUGGCGGGCAUGCCUGUCUGAGCGUCAUUUCAACCCUCAUGCCCCUAGGGCGUGGUGUUGGGGAUCGGCCAAAGCCCGUGAGGGAAGGCCGGCCCCUAAAUCUAGUGGCGGACCCGUCGUGGCCUCCUCUGCGAAGUAGUGAUAUUCCGCAUCGGAGAGCGACGAGCCCCUGCCGUUAAACCCCCAACUUCUCAAGGUUGACCUCAGAUCAGGUA
rnacentral:rRNA from 1 species